CAAUAGCGUAUAUUAAAGUUGUUGCGGUUAAAAAGCUCGUAGUUGGAUUUCUGCUGAGGACGACCGGUCCGCCCUCUGGGUGAGCAUCUGUUUCGGCCUUGGCAUCUUCUUGGAGAACGUAGCUGCACUUGACUGUGUGGUGCGGUAUCCAGGACUUUUACUUUGAGGAAAUUAGAGUGUUUCAAGCAGGCACACGCCUUGAAUACAUUAGCAUGGAAUAAUAAGAUAGGACCUCGGUUCUAUUUUGUUGGUUUCUAGAGCUGAGGUAAUGAUUAAUAGGGAUAGUUGGGGGCAUUCGUAUUUAACUGUCAGAGGUGAAAUUCUUGGAUUUGUUAAAGAUGGACUACUGCGAAAGCAUUUGCCAAGGAUGUUUUCAUUGA
rnacentral:rRNA from 1 species